UUUAAAUGUAAAUUAUUUUAACCUAGGUAGUAUUAGUUAAGGUCUUGAAACUUAAAGAAUUUGGCGGUAUUUUAGUCUGUUUAGAGGAAUCUGUCUCUUAAUCGAUAAUCCACGUUGUACCUUACCAAAUUUAUAUAUGUAUACCGCCGUUAUUAUUGAGAAUCUUUUUAGAGUUUAAUAAAUUUUCUGGAUUUGUUUUUAAAGUUUAUUUCAGGUCAAGGUGCAGUUUAUGAUUUGGUGUUAGAUGGAUUACAUUUAUAUUUAUUAUUUGGAUUAUUUCUUGUAAUUUUUGAAGUAUGAAAUUGGAUUUAAUUGUAAUUUUUUGUAGAUUGUAAUAUUGAUAUUAGCUCUAUAAUAUGU
rnacentral:rRNA from 1 species